CUUCCCUUGGGACAGAGAGGGAAAGCAAGUUGAUAGAAAGAAAUGUCUCUCCCUGAAAGGAACGUGUUAUUUUAAUACUUGUGUGUUUGAGCACUGGGAUGAGUGCAUGGUUGCGGCUGAGGGGGUGAAAGGUGAGGACCCUGGGGGAUCCCCUGCUGCUCUUAGCCAAGGGACCAGUUCUGGGCUAAAGGCAAAUGGCAAUUUAUGGAUUCAGAGCAGGGCAGGGCUAUUUAAAAGUCUGGCAGACAAGACUCCAGAGGAGUGAGUGGACCUGGAAUUUAGCCUAAAGAAGAGAAGGUUGAGGGUGACUUUAAAAGGAACGCUAGAGCCGGAAAUGUCAUUAUAGCAGGAAUGAGGACCAGAUGUUCCCCGUGUCAUCAGAACACACAGCAGAAAUGACCUUACAACAGAGGCAGAACCUUGUGACAGUUGAACACCGAAAUGGGGUGCUCCCAGGCGGUUGUGGAAUUCUCCCCCAGAAAGACCUUUGUCUUCCAUGAGAAUUUGUGUAUAGUUUUGCAGAAAACAUAAAGGGCUUAAGAAACAAUAUAGGGGCUCUUUUCUCUGUGCCCACUGUAUCAUAGCAGAGCAUUGCAGGGAGGUUAGCAAGGGGCUUUGUGGAAGCCUCAGAUCCAAAUCCAGGAUGCCUACAGAUGUAUCUGAACGACCUACACAGCUUAUCUUCCUUUCACUCUUUCCAGUUCCCUUGCAUGUUUACAAAUAUACUGAUUCCGUGACAGGUGAGACAAGCCUUCAGUGAAUCACUUCUGUUGUGACUUUACUGUCUUCAUGUUGGAGACUGGAAGGAUGAUUAUCUAAAGUUUUGAUAUCUUAGUUCUCAGAAAUGGCCCAAAUGUUGUUUUGACACCAUGUAAGAUAUCAAACAAAUUGACAGAAGGUGGGCAGCUACUUUGAAGUUGAAAGCUUUCUUUUUGUUUACUGAAAUGACAAGUCAGAUCUAAAUGUGUCUUUUUAAUUCUUUCAUUUGCUCUAAUAGUUCUACAUGCCAGUCUUAUAAAAAUAUCCAUCCACUGUAAGACAGAAGAACAAACAACCAAACAAAAACUCUAUAGCACCUGGGAAUGCCAUCUCACAGAAAUUUAAACAAACCAACCAUGGGUUGCCCACUGCAAUUCACUGCAGCCUGUCGUUAGUUAGAAUAAGUGGCUUUUAAUUUGUAUCCUUUAUGCUUCAAAUCAAAGCUAACUUAAUUAGUGAAAUGGCCAUGAGAGAAGGGGUUGGCGUCUAAUUACCACUGAUUAUCCCACUGUUCACUGACUAAUGACCUCAGUAAGUAUGAUAGCCGUGAGUUCUGAUCAAACUCAUCUGUGAUUCUUUUAAUCAACUAAAUUGCAUCAAAUUCAAUAAUCUAUUCUAAUUUAAGGAAGUUUUCUUUUUUUAUCCUCUAUGACAAAGAACUGUUAUUCAGGGGAAAGCAAAACCUGCAGAUGCAAAAGUUCACCGUGUCAGCUGUGUUCCCCAAAUUGUAUUCAACCUUUCUUCCCUGAUUGGUGUGAUGACUAAACUUUCUCAGUGGGAUGACACAUCCCCUUGUGGUCAUUUUUUUUUUUGUGUGUGUGUGGUUGCAGCAACUCAGAACCAUUGCACUUACCUAUCAGUCAAUUUUUUAAAAAUGUAUAAAUCAGCAAACUUCUUGAAAGAGAACAGCUGGAAGCUGCCUUAUCCAGUCUUCUUGUUAAGCCCUGUCAGACAAGGUUGACUUUAAGGCUGUCUCAGAGGGUAGCUGCUUCUUCUACUGGUCCAACAAGGUUGAGUUUAAGGCUUCCUUAGAAGAAGAUGAAGUAUAUCAAGAAGAGUGUAAAAUGGAAAAGCAACAUGAUUUUUAAAAAAUGCUUGUAUGUUUGAUGAUGGAUGUAGUGAGAAGGAUGAAGAGGGGUUUCUCUGUGAAACAGUCCUGGCUGUCCUGGAAUUCACUCUGUAGACAAGGCUGGCCUGGAAUUCACAGAGGUCUGCCUGCCUCUGCCUCACAAGGGUUGGAAUUAAAGGCAUGUGCCACCGCCACCUGGCUCCAGAUUUCUUUUUUCAACUCAUCACUGUGUUUCUGCCUAAAAGACCCAUCACAAGAAAUAGAUUAUCAUAGAAAAGGAGCAACAUUUACUUAAUAGACACAAAAAAAAAAACUUACCCUUUGCUCUGGAGGAGGGGACUAUCUCUGGCCCGGACUAUUCCUAUCUACCAAGGCCAUUUGCUUUGCAAACAUCCUUGAGAAGAUUAUUUAGAACAAAAGGAGUUUCCAGUUGCCCUUCUUAUGGGCUGUGAGAGACCCACAGAAAAUUGGCUGUUCUGAAGAAAACUCCAUCAGAGCCUUCAUCCAGUAGCUGAUGGAAGAAGAAGCAGACACCCACAGCUAAAUACUGAGCUGAACUCUGGAAUCCAUUUGCAGAGAGGGACGAGUGAUGAGCAAAGGGGUCAAGACCAGGCUGGAGAAACCCACAGGGACAGCUGACCGGAACAAGAGGUUGCUCAUGGACACCAGACUGAUAGCUGGGAAACCAGCAAAGGACUGUUCCAGACCCCCUGAAGGAGGAGGUCGGUUUGGAGGUCUGGACAAUCUAUGGGGACAAUCUAUGGGCGGAUCAGUAUUUACCCCCUAGUACACAAAUGAACUUUGGGAGCCCAUUCCAUAUAGAGGGAUGCUCUCUCAGCCUAGACACACUGGGGAGGGUCUAGGCCCUAUCCCAAAUGAUAGGACAGACUUUGAAGAUUCCCCCAUGGAAGGCCUCACCCUCCCUGGGGAGCAGAAAGGAGGUAGGAUAGAGGGUGGGGGGGCAGGGGAGGAGGGGAGGGAGAGGGAACUAGGACUGAUAUGUAAAAGAAGUUUGUUUCUAAUUUAAAUUUAAAAAAAAAAUCAAAAUCCCUAUUUAAAAUUCUAAAAGGGUGGCAGAAUUUUCAUGGAUAACUUACAAUAUGCUAUGAAAUAACUAAUAAAAUAGUGUAAUCUAUUUCUCAAAAAAAAAAAAAAGAAAAAGAAAAGGCACAUGAAUCAGAGACCCACUUGUCUACACACUCAAGAUUAUCAUUGAAAAUACUAAACUGAAAGCAAAAAUAUAUACGAAGAGGCCCUGGUGCAGACCCGUCCAGACCCUGUGCCUGCGGCUUCAGUCUCUGUGGGUUGGUAUGAUUUUUGUGCAGUUGAUUUAGAUGGCCUUGCUUUCCUGGUGUCCAUCAUCCCUUGCGGCUGUUACAAUCCUUCCUCCUUUGCAGGGUUCCCUGAGUUUAUUUUCUUUGGUUGGCUUUUGCUUUUGAUUGGUAUUGUUUGUUGUUAACUUUAAUUAAAUUCACUCUUCCGGUAGUUUCAUACACACAUACAAACUGUGUUCUUACCCCAUCCUCUGUUAUCCCCUUGUCUCCACCCCCUCCCCUAUGACCCUCUUUCUUACACUUAUGCCUGCUUAUUUUGUUUGUGACUCACUAAGAGGUAUGCAAAUGGGAUUUAGCUCAGUGAAAACACUUGCUUAGGAAGCCCAGCAAGUUCAAAGACAUAUUCUUUCCUUAGCUUCUAGAAGAAUGAUGUCUGCAAGAAUGUAGGAAAACUAAAGCCUUAAUUAAUUACAUCAUGGACCACUAAAAUAACCAACUUUGAAACCUGCCUUCCAAUAGAUUUAUUGUAGCAUGUAAUAAUAUUUUGUUAUGGUUCAAAUAAAUGUAAACCUUAUUUCUUAUUCCUAAGGUAUGUUAUCCAGG
ensembl:lncRNA